rnacentral:rRNA from 1 species
CGCGGGAUUAGAGUUUGAUCAUGGCUCAGAUUGAACGCUGGCGGCAGGCCUAACACAUGCAAGUCGAGCGGAAACGAGAAUAGCUUGCUAUUCGGCGUCGAGCGGCGGACGGGUGAGUAAUGCCUGGGAAAUUGCCCUGAUGUGGGGGAUAACCAUUGGAAACGAUGGCUAAUACCGCAUAAUAGCUUCGGCUUAAAGAGGGGGACCUUCGGGCCUCUCGCUUCAGGAUAUGCCCAGGUGGGAUUAGCUAGUUGGUGAGGUAAAGGCUCACCAAGGCGACGAUCCCUAGCUGGUCUGAGAGGAUGAUCAGCCACACUGGAACUGAGACACGGUCCAGACUCCUACGGGAGGCAGCAGUGGGGAAUAUUGCACAAUGGGCGCAAGCCUGAUGCAGCCAUGCCGCGUGUAUGAAGAAGGCCUUCGGGUUGUAAAGUACUUUCAGCAGUGAGGAAGGGUGUGUAGUUAAUAGCUGCAUACUUUGACGUUAGCUGCAGAAGAAGCACCGGCUAACUCCGUGCCAGCAGCCGCGGUAAUACGGAGGGUGCGAGCGUUAAUCGGAAUUACUGGGCGUAAAGCGCAUGCAGGUGGUUUGUUAAGUCAGAUGUGAAAGCCCGGGGCUCAACCUCGGAACCGCAUUUGAAACUGGCAGGCUAGAGUACUGUAGAGGGGGGUAGAAUUUCA